rnacentral:misc_RNA from 1 species
GAUGAAGAACGUAGCGAAAUGCGAUACUUGGUGUGAAUUGCUGAAUCCCGUGAACCAUCAAGUUUUUGAACGCAAGUUGCGCCCGAAGCCAUUAGGCCGAGGGCACGCCUGCCUGGGUGUCACACAUUGUUGCCCCAAUGCCAAUCGCCUCACUUUGUAGGUAUUUGCUUGGGGUGAAUGUUGGCCUCCCGUGAGCUCUGUCUCACGGUUGGUUGAAAAUCGAGUGCAUGGUGUCGGGUGUACCAUGAUGGAUGGUGGUUGAGUGAUGCUCGAGGCCAAUCAUGGGUAACUCCACCAGAAUUGUGCUCGGUGACCCACAUCAAGUCAGGCGGGGCUACACGCUGAGUUUAAGCAUAUCAAUAAGCGGAGGA